CGCGCAUCCGAGGGGUGUCCCGCCGACCGCAAGGUCCAGGGGCUGAGAUGGCAUCCGCCAGACCCUUUGAACCUGAUCCGGGUCAUGCCGGCGAAGGGACGGAACGACGGCCGGGU
rnacentral:ncRNA from 2 species